AGUGAACGCUGGCGGCGUGCUUAACACAUGCAAGUCGAACGAGAACGGAUUAUAGCUUGCUAUAAUUGUCAGCUAAGUGGCGCACGGGUGGGUAAUGUAUAGGUAAUAUGCCUCUUACUAAGGGAUAACAAAUGGAAACGUUUGCUAAUACCUUAUACUCGUUAUUAACAUAAGUUAAUAAGGGAAAGAUUUAUUGGUAAGAGAUUAGCCUGUAUUGUAUCAUUUAGUUGGUGGGGUAAUGGCUUACCAAGACUCUAACACAUAACUGGUUUGAGAGAAUUAUCAAUCACCCUGAAACUGAGACACGGUCCAGACUCCUACGGGAGGCAUAAUUGGGGAAUAUUGCACAAUGGACGAAAGUCUGAUACAGCAUCGCCGCGUGUAGGAUGACACAUUUCGGUGCGUAAACUCCUUUUAUAUGAGAAGAUAAUGACGGUAUUAUUUGAAUAAGCACCGGCUAACUCCGUGCCAGCAGCCGCCGUAA
rnacentral:rRNA from 1 species